UAAGCGGAGGAAAAGAAACCAACAGGGAUUGCCUCAGUAACGGCGAGUGAAGCGGCAAAAGCUCAAAUUUUAAAGCUGGCAUCUUCGGUGUCCGCGUUGUAAUUUUGUGAGGCAUCUCCGGGUAGGGCGCCGGCCUAAGUUCCUUGGAACAGGACGUCACAGAGGGUGAGAAUCCCCUGCUUGGCUGGCUGUCCCCGUCCAUGUGAGGUGUCUUCGACGAGUCGAGUUGUUUGGGAAUGCAGCUCAAAAUGGGUGGUAAAUUUCAUCUAAAGCUAAAUAUUGGUGGGAGACCGAUAGCGCACAAGUAGAGUGAUCGAAAGAUGAAAAGCACUUUGAAAAUAGAGUUAAAAAGUACGUGAAAUUGUUGAAAGGGAAGCGCUUGAGAUCAGACUUCGGUAGGGGGUGAUCAGCCGUCCUUCUGGGCGGUGCACUUGCCCCUCUCCGGGCCAGCAUCGGUUGAGGCGGCGGGAUAAAGGUCCCGGGAAUGUGGCUCCUUCGCGGGAGUGUUAUAGCCCGGGUGAAUGCCGCCAGUCUCGACCGAGGACCGCACCCGCAAGGGUUAGGAUGCUUGGCAUAAUGGUCUUCAGCGACCCGUCUUGA
rnacentral:rRNA from 1 species